rnacentral:rRNA from 1 species
UACGUAGGGGGCUAGCGUUGUCCGGAAUCAUUGGGCGUAAAGAGCGCGUAGGCGGCCCGGUAAGUCCGCUGUAAAAGUCCAGGGCUCAACCCUGGAAAGCCGGUGGAUACUGUCGGGCUCGAGUCCGGAAGAGGCGAGUGGAAUUCCUGGUGUAGCGGUGGAAUGCGCAGAUAUCGGGAAGAACACCCGUGGCGAAGGCGGCUCUCGUGGGACGGUACCGACGCUGAGACGCGAAAGCGUGGGGAGCGAACAGG